rnacentral:tRNA from 2 species
GCGGCCUAGCAAGAGGUUGAGUGUUCGGACUUUUAAUCCGUUGGUCGCGAGUUCGAAUCUCGCAGGACCCACCA